UUUCCGUAGGUGAACCUGCGGAAGGAUCAUUAUCGUAUUUCCGACGCGCAAGCGCUGUCGCAGAUACGAUAGGUUGUGCUCGGCCGAUUGCCCCCCCCCACGUAUAACUCACCCCUAUGUGCACCACCGCGUGCGUCCACCUUUGGCUUGGUCGCAGCUGGGCUUACGUUUCAACUCAAACUAUGUUUGCAGUGUAGAAUGUAUUUUUUGUUUUUGCGAUCACGCAAUCAACACAUCUUUAAAUAACGGAUCUCUUGGCUCUCGCAUCGAUGCAGAACC
rnacentral:misc_RNA from 1 species